GUCUCGGUGCCAUGAAUUCCUACAAUGGCAGACUUAGACAAAAUACUGUUAAUUUUAUUAUCUUCAGUGUUUAAAUGCUUACAUAUACGGGUUUGCUUGUAAUUGUUGCCUAUAUACAUUUUAAGCUAUUAUUUAUUAUUUAGUUCAAUCAAUAGAUCAAGUUUUGUAGUGACUAUGAAAUAUAUUGUAAUUAUCUGUUUCCUGUUUAUCCUAGACAGGGCAAAAAAGGACUCCAAAUUAAAAAAAAGAUAAAAAUGAAAGACUGGUGCAUUGUGCAGUUUAGCACUGGUGGUACAGAAAUAGUCCCUAGAUCAUGGAUAAAUGGGGAGAAAUUGUCAUGGCCUCCAUAUCCUCCGUGAGACACAUUCAGGAUCCACGACACAGUAAAGAGGAGAGUUCAUCCUGGUGCAACAUGGCUCACCUAUGCACCAGUCCGACUUCUAAUAAGCCAUGGUGGGUAUCAUCUGGAUUGGUGUUGUAUAAAUGUAACAAUAACAAGUUUUUCGUGUCCUAAUUUAUGUCUGGCCAUACAUUGUGUUUGUACUUCCAGACACAUUUCACGAAGCAGAACGCAGUCUUCAGAAAUAUCUAAGUGAACACUGUGAUAUGUCUGACCUUCAGUCCGAAGCUGAAACUCAGACCAGUCAUAAAAGAAAGCACAAACCAAAUCCCCUGUACACAUAUAGUGACUCAGAGGAUGAGCAGCCCAC